UGCCAAUCAAACUGCUACAAGACAACACCCUGAUCUGGCAUGGACAUCGCGGGUCCAAGCCUGUAGCCCCAAAUCGGAUAAUCUCUGCAGCUGAUAACAAGCAAAAGAGAAGCCAGGCAACAGCCAUAUUAAAGAAGAAAACAAUCAACUCUGAGCAGGAAGAAAUGUAAUGAAUUGAGUGCUGUCAGAGAUGUCUUCUGUUUGAACAAUCUGCGAUGGGCUGAAUGGCAGGGACUCCCUCAUCCAGUGCAGACACAGCCCAGGCAGACAGAAGGAAACGGAGCAUUAAUCCAACAGCAGUCACCCCAAAGUACAGGCCAUUUGGAUCCAGAAGAGAAACUGGUUCUUUCUACAAGCUCUCCCGUUCUCCCUGGGGCCCUUCACAGCCCCCUUGUCUACGUUGUGGCUGUGCUUUCCCUGAUCCAACUUAGAAAUAAUGUUUCAUUCAAGAUAAGGCUCGUGAUUUAGGAGAUUGUGACCUGGCUUGCAUCAUUCUAAGACUUCUAUCAUCUGUUUUCAAAACCCAAGGAGGACCUCAUUUUCUGUGUGAUAGUUCCUCAUGCUUUGCCAGCCACUGUGUCUUUAAGGAAGCUUGCCAAGAGUUCCUGGCUGGGAAGG
rnacentral:sRNA from 1 species